GGAAGCAACUAGAAUAUGUAGUGUAGCGGUGAAAUGCUUAGAGAUUACAUGGAAUACCAAUUGCGAAGGCAGGUUGCUACCAAUGGAUUGACGCUGAUGGACGAAAGCGUGGGUAGCGAACAGGAUUAGAUACCCUGGUAGUCCACGCCGUAAACGAUGGAUACUAGCUGUUGGGCGCAAGUUCAGUGGCUAAGCGAAAGUGAUAAGUUCCCACCU
rnacentral:rRNA from 1 species